GCUGUCUGAUUCAAAGACAGGAGCGCACGCGAGCAGAUGGAAACCAUGGAAACGAGGAAACCUCAUCAACUGACAAACAGCAAAACUAGCGUCUCUCGCUGUUGUUUUCGCUUCUUUCAGAAAUGGUUUUGUGUCUUCGAAAAAGUCCGUUAGCAUCUCAACCGUUUUCAGAAUAGCGCUUUUCUAGGCACUCAAAGCGCUUCACAUAGAAGGGGGAAUCUCCUCAACCACCACCAAUGUGCAGCAUCCACUUGGAUGAUGCGACGGCAGCCAUAUUGCGCCAGAACGCCCACCACACACCAGCU